rnacentral:lncRNA from 1 species
UAUCAUGUGAUUCAGUCCUAUCGUGAGUCCCGACUUGAUGGAGAUCAUGGAGAACUCGUCAAAUCCCAUCAUCAGUCAUAUGCCAGAUUAGCUCAACUCAAGUUCAUUUGUGAAUCCUGUAGAAACUCUUUUUUAAUAUUCAUACUUGCUUUAGUCAAAGACUUUCUAAACUCAGUCUCGUAAAUCAUAUAGAAUUUUUUUUUCUACCA